UGACCGAAUAGGUCCAUGCGUCGUUCGAUUCGAUGACGGACUGAUCCCCGAAAUGGUCCCCGUCCGCGAGGACGUCGAGGAUCGUGUCGGCGCCGUACUUGCCUGCGCCGAGCUUCUGGGCCUUUCCGUGCGCGAGCAGGAAGAUCGUCUCCGCUGGCUUUCCUCGCUCGGCGAUCAGCGCGCCGGGCUUGUACUCCCGCUGGAUGAACCGGCUCGCCAGGGUGUCGAGCACGGCGUCGUCCGAGAAGCCUUGCAAGAGCGGCAAUUCGCGGAGCUCCUGCGGGAUCACCUGCACCUUCGCCCCGACGUUGCCGAAGCUCAACCGCCCGUCGCCGACGGCAUAACUCAGGCGGCGGUUCACGCGAUACGUGCCGCCCGUGACCUCGAUCCAGGGCAAGACCCGCAGGAGCCACCGGGACGUGAUCCCCUGCAUCUGCGGAUGCGACUUGGUCGUCGUCGCGAGCUUUCGCGCCCCCAGCGUCCCGAGGCUCGAACGCUC
rnacentral:antisense_RNA from 1 species